rnacentral:snRNA from 1 species
AGAAUAUUACCAUGGCUCCAGCAUAAGGAUGACGUGAAGAUUCAUGAAGGACUCCAUAAUUUU